rnacentral:rRNA from 1 species
AGACCUUUAGUUUGAACCCCGAAACCAGGUGAGCUACCCCGAGACAGCCUAUAUUGAUUUAGGGCUAACCCGUCUCUGUGGCAAAAGAGUGGGAAGAGCUCCGGGUAGAAGUGACAGACCUACCGAACCUGGUGAUAGCUGGUUGCCUGAGAAGUGGAUAGAAGUUCAGCCUCGCACACCCCAAGCCAGAGAAUACACCGCUAAGGCACUCAGGGAAAUGUGGGAGAGUUAGUUAAAGGGGGUACAGCCCCUUUAACAAAGGAUACAACCUUUGCAGGAGGAUAAAGAUCAUAAUAUAUAAAACAUGCUGCUCUAGUGGGCCUAAAGGCAGCCACCUAAACAGAAAGCGUUAAAGCUCAGGCAGAAAGAAGUUUAUUAUACCGAUAAAAAAUCUUACUCCCCUAAUUAUAUCAGGCCAACCCAUGCCAACAUGGAAGAGAUUAUGCUAAAAUGAGUAACAAGAAGACCUGCUCUUCUCCCAGCACAAGUGUAAGCCAGAUCGGACUAACCGCUGGAACUUAACGAACCCAACCCAAGAGGGUAGUGUGAAUAGUACAGACCCCAAGAAGAACUCACAACUAAACAAUCGUUAACCCCACACUGCAGUGCUAUUAUAAAGGAAAGACUAAAAGAGGGGGAAGGAACUCGGCAAACACAAGCCUCGCCUGUUUACCAAAAACAUCGCCUCCUGCAACUAUAUUGAGUAUAGGAGGUCCAGCCUGCCCAGUGACUACGGGUUCAACGGCCGCGGUAUUUUGACCGUGCAAAGGUAGCGCAAUCACUUGUCUCUUAAAUAGAGACCUGUAUGAAUGGCUAGACGAGGGCUUAACUGUCUCCCCCCUCCAGUCAGUGAAAUUGAUCUAUCCGUGCAGAAUCGGGUAUAAUUAUACAAGACGAGAAGACCCUUUGGAGCUUAAGGUACAAAAUCCAACCACGUUAAACGACCCCCUAAAGGGCAAGAACUUAGUGGCCAAUGAAGUUUUACCUUCGGUUGGGGCGACCACGGAGGAGAAAAAAGCCUCCGAGUGGACUGGGUUAAAACCCAAAGCUAAGAGAUACAUCUCUAAGCCGCAGAACAUCUGACCAAAAGUGAUCCGGCUAAAAAGCCGAUCAACGAACCAAGUUACCCUAGGGAUAACAGCGCAAUCCUCUCCCAGAGUCCAUAUCGACGAGGGGGUUUACGACCUCGAUGUUGGAUCAGGACAUCCUAAUGGUGCAGCCGCUAUUAAGGGU